UUGCCAGCACAUAUACUAAAAUUAGAAAGAUACAGAGAAGAUUAGCGUGGUCCCUGAGCAAGGAUGACAGCAAAUUUCUGAAGCGUUCCAUAUUUUU
rnacentral:snRNA from 1 species